rnacentral:lncRNA from 1 species
UUUUUUUUAGCUUGAGAUUGGAAUUGGUGGGCGAAUUGAUUGUAACAGCGUCGAGUUUGGUGCAGUAUUUAAGGUUUGGUACGCAUGUGGUCCGUCCUAAAGCACGUGCAUGAUUCUAUUCUGCAGGAAUUUUCUAAAGCCGUACGUGUGUAUAUUCGUAUAUUCGAUAUUCGACAUAACGCACAUAGUUCAAUGUAAAUAAUAAUUGGCUUAAUUGGUAUAGGUGUAUGUAAUGUAACUCGGGAUUGCGUAAAGAGUAUGGUAGGCCCACGCAUAAAUCUACGAAACGCUUACGGCGUUUCUUUCCCGGGAAAAGAAAAAAAGGAAAAAUAAAAAUAAAAAUCUAUGAGAGCUUUCCUGAUGUAGCGCACCAACUAGAUUCUCCAGAUUCGUGCUUCUAUUUUUUUGGUGCUUAAAAUCGUAUGUUAGUUCUGUUUUCAGCAGAAGAAGUUUGUGAAUAUUUUAUUUUAUAGGGAAGCAGAUAUGUUUUACGAUCUAACUUUUUCUACUAGUGUUAUAAAAUGGCGAUAAAACUUUUCUGCUAGACUGACCGUCUCUAGCACAAGUGGUAAAGAGCUUAAUGGUCGGUGUUUUGGUCUAAAAUUUGAAUCUUAGUUGAUUUAUAUUUUUAACUAAAUUUAUUUUUAAAUGAAAUAAGCGAAACGGAUAACAUGCGCUUUUGGAAUAUCUUGGGAAGGACUGUGUCCGACGAAUGCGUCCAACGGAACUUUCGAGCUACAUAAGCUGGCCCAGUUGACCUAAAUGGGCCCACCAACUUAUUUAUCUUUUAGUUCAUUACUACUACCAAUCAUCAAUCCUCUUUAUAUUAUAACGAAAAAUAAAAUAAAAAAUAUGGAUUUGGGCCAAACCCAAAAGGAAAUUAAAAAAAAAAAAAAAAAAAAAAAAAAACGCGGUCGGACGCGAUUAACCUUGGAGUCAACAACCCACCCACCGCCCGAGCCCCUCAUUGUCGGUGCACCGAACACUCCAAUUCUUUCAUUUAAACCCUGGACUUUAUUAGGUAUCUCACUCACUCACUCACUUGUUGGGGUGUGGGGUUGUGGUGGGUUGUGGUGUUGUGGGCUCCUUCCCAACUAUACGUCGCCUCAGAUCUAAAAGUACCAAGUGCUGCGUUGCCUAUUUCUCUUAUUUUUUUUCCACCGUUUGGUCCAAGUUAUAUUCAAAAAAAAAAAGAAAAAAAAAAUUAAAAGAGAAUCUUAUGUGGAAUAUGCUUCCUCACAAAAUAGGAUAAUUUUUUGAAUGCGCCGUCCUUAGUAGACCGUAAAUGUUAUACUUACAAAUAAAUUUUAAAAAAACUUCAAAUAUCAUUUCUAUGAUUCCGCGCUUUCUCAUUUUAGUACUCUGUACUUUAAAAUGUAUUACUUUCGUACCAUAUGAUUUUACUUUUUUUUCUUUUCGUUAUUUUUUUAUUAACUUUUUCGUUAAAUCAGUGAUAAAGUUAAAAUUAUAGGGUUCUAAAUUAAAUAUUCGAUAAACCACAGAAUAUUAUUUGAAGUUUUUCGUAUAUAAUUUAACGGAGAGUUAACGGAGGCGCUGACAAAAAGAAAAAAAUAAAACCGCAUGGUACUAGAGUGAUACACUUCAAAUUAUAUGAUAUUAAAGUAAGAAAUCACGAAAUCACGAUGAUGGUAUUUGAAGUUUAUUCUAAAUUUUAUAAUACUUCACCAAUUAUCACACAUGACCUUAUUUUACUGAUAGAUAAGUACAAAUCUCGAGAUGGUAAAAUAUAAUUUAUAGUUUUAAGAUUGAAAUCUAGUUGUUGCACUUUAUAAAUAUGAUGUAUUUCUUGCACUCACUAUUUAUGAGUUUAAUUCUCUUUGUGAAAAUUUAAUAUUAAAAAAAAGAUUAAUAAGACUAAAAAAACAGAAGAUAUUUUCGAAUGAACAGGGUAUCAUAUUUACACCCUAUUUAUAUGUGUACAACUCGCAUUGCUUUGAAGUAUAUUAACAUAAAAAAAUUAAAAUUAGUUAUCAUCUAUAACUUUUAAAUUUGUUAUUAGAAUAGUUUUAGAAAGUCCCCGAGAGUAUUAUUUUUAUAUAUAAUUAAAGGUAAAAAUGUAAAGAGAUAUUGUAAACUUUAGCUCUUUUAUAAAAAAGCGCUUGAACUUUCAAAUUUGAUUAUUACAUUUUCUAAACUUUUUUAAAUAGUUUAAUAGAUCUUUCUUUUUAAGUGAGUUUACUAAUUACACAGUUAUUUUGAUCGGACGUCAUGCACAUAAUCAUGUAAAAUUUCAAAAUAUAAAAAUUUAAUUUUUCUCUCUAAAUUUUAAUAAUUAAGUAUGAAGAUUGAAGAGUUGGUUGAAUCGAAUUUUAAUUUCUAUCGCUUUUUUUACAUUUAAGAGUACAAAGAAUAAAUUAUUUGUGUUUUAAAGCUUUAUAAAAUUUUGAAUAUGUAAUUGCCAAAAUUAAAAACUCAGGCAUGUAUCUACAAAGGAGCGAACCUUUAGGUGGUCUCUGUAUAUUUUACCCUAAUAUAAUUGUUGGGACCUAAAAUGUGAGGAUCUUUAAUUGAUUUAUAUAUGUAUUCUAUAGUGCCACGUAAAUUUACCGAUACAUUACUAACGCAUGGAAAAUUAUCUGAAUAAUUAUAAAAAUUAGAGAAAAAAGUUAUCACAUAUUAUGAUUAUUUUAUUUACAUGUAAAAUCUUUUUAAGUAUUAUAAAAUAUAAAUCACACCCACCUAUAAAUUAAGAUUUUAAUUUAAAAUUCUUAAUGAUUAAAUUUAAAAAAGGCCGCGGUGUAUACACCACGGUGCAUGCAAAAAAUAGUUUCUGAGCAAAAUAGACCAAUUUGACGUGACGUUGAACCAAUGCGAGAGACUCUUCAGAUUAUUCCUCAAAUUUCACAUUAACCACAUUAUCUUUAAUAAAAAAAAAUAAAUUAAAAUAAAAAAUGAAAUAAAAAUUAAUAAUAAGGUUAGUUACUAUUAAUGUUAGGCCAAUAAGUACGUCGUAAUUUCGCAAUACCCCCAAUUCACAGUUUCCGCGGCUUCUCCCGCAAAUGGUAUGCAUAUAAAUCCGAUCCCUCCCCGUCUCUAUUCAACUCUCCGAUCCGAUCCGAUCUGAUCUAAAACCCUCGGAUCUCACCAUUGUUUCGCGAUUUUUCGCAGUAAUCAGCUCAAUUACUAGCCGAUUCUCACGAUCCCCUGCUGGAUCUCGAGCUAUUGGUGAUGAGGUGGGGUUUUCUCGUCUUUUUCUGAUGAAUUUUUCGUGAAUUUUGGGUUUUUGUUGUGGUUUUGAGGUGAUUGUUGUUAGAUCGUGCGUAGGUGAGCUUGGAUUUUGAGGUGCCGAGGUUGCGGAGGUGUGAUUUUGGGGGGAUUUGGAGAGGGGGAAAUUGUUUGAGAUGGGCGAGGGCGAGCGGUUCCAGUUGGGGACCGUUGGCGCGCUGAGCCUCUCGGUGGUGUCGUCGGUGUCGAUCGUUAUCUGCAACAAGGCGCUCAUCAGCUCGUUGGGAUUCACAUUUGGUAAUAGAUCUGAUGAUCUCCUCUCUUUUUUUUUUUUCUUUCUCUUUUCUAUUCGUAUUAAUAGUAGUGAUAUAGUAUACGAUGUUUGGUAGGUGUGAUCUGAUUUAUUGUAUUUUUGGUUCUUGGUGGAGCAUACGGACAAUUUGUAGAUGUCGAUUGAUUGUUUUUAUGGAUUGUUUCAUGUUUCAUAUUUGUUUUUUGAUGUAUGUAGUUGAUAGUAAAAAUACCUUUAAGUUUUUGAAAAAAAUAAUUAUUUCAUAUAAUUUAACAUAUAAUAUCAUAGCAAGAGGUUACGAGUUUGAGUUCCGUCAGGUUUUUAGCGUUACAAUUCCUCCCGUUUAAUUCAAGCCCACGUUUUGGGCCUUAAUGAUUGUUUUUAUAAUUUAACGUACCUUUUGGUAAUUUGGAUAGUUCUCUCAAGAGAGGAGUUGCCUACAUGAGGAGGAAAAAUCACAACUUUUUGUUUUGGGAGUUGUAUUAGGUCUUAAGGCAUUAAUUGGCCAGAGAAGUAAAUGAUGUUCGAUCAAUUCGGCCUGAUCUGUAUCGUUAACCAUGAGUAAAAACAGAAAUGGAUCAAUUCGGCCUGAUCUGCGGUAUAUGGGGUAGGUCCUCCGUCGGUGUAACUGUCCAUUGUUGAUAUUGUAUUGGUUCCUCGACUUUAUCCUCUUGCGUUAGAAAUGCAGUCUAAGGUGUCAUAUAUUUAUUUGUUGCUUGUGUUGAAUGGAGGACUAGUGGUAUGAUUUUAUGAGAUGGAAACAUGUUAUAACAUAAAUUUGCUAGUUUAAGAAGGUAAGGUAUCAUAAUUAGUUUCCAUAAGAUGUAGGGGAGAAAUGAACUUGGCGGCUUCGAACAGAUGAGAGCUUUUAUAGUCCCAAUAUUCAAAAUUUAAUUACUCUGAUGACAUCUUGCCCUGAUCUGUGUUUUGCAGCCACUACUCUGACAAGCUGGCAUCUUCUAGUUACAUUCUGUUCUCUUCAUGUGGCCUUGUGGAUGAAACUUUUCGAGCACAAGCCUUUUGAUGCUAGGACUGUUAUGGGCUUUGGGGUGCUUAAUGGAAUCUCUAUUGGGCUAUUGAACUUGAGUCUUGGUUUCAAUUCGGUUGGCUUUUAUCAGGUGCAUAUCGCUUUCGUAUUCUUCUUUACUUGAUUUAGUCAAGGAAGUGAAAGAGGCAUAUGAUAGUUAAGAAACCUUAGUCUAUGCCGAGUCAAAUAAGAUAUCACUACUAAAUCAGAAUUCAUUGGUUUUUGCCGAUCUAUUAUGGUGGUAGUGCCUCUUGGAUGUGUUUGUGAUAUUUCUUUUUCUUUACAGAUGACAAAGCUUGCUAUUAUCCCUUGCACUGUCUUGUUGGAGACUCUUUUCUUCCUCAAGAAGUUCAGGUUUGUUUACCAUUUCUUUCUUUUAUUGUUAACCAAUCAAAUCCAAAGAAAAUGACGGCUUUUUUUAGAGUUUUUUUAGUUAGUACUCCAGAUUUUAACUAUUAUUGGAAUGAGUAAUCUCGUGCAUGGCCAAUCAAUAUCUUAGCUUGUUGGCUUACAGAAGUAUAUGACAAAAUUCCUUGAGAAAGAAAUAUUAGGAGAAAGCAAAUGAUAGAGUAAUGGCUGGUGCUGGUACAACUAUUCUUUUUCUGAUUCAUUAUCUUCACUUGUCCCUGCAGUAGGAAUAUCCAGCUCUCGCUUACUAUUCUCCUUUUGGGUGUCGGCAUCGCUACUGUGACAGAUCUGCAACUCAAUGCUCUAGGAUCUAUACUGUCUCUACUUGCAAUUAUUACGACUUGCAUAGCUCAAAUUGUAUCCUUGAACAAGUUUCUUUUCCGUGAAGUGUUCAGAGCCCUGUACGUCAGUUAUGUUGCAUUAUGGCUUAAUUCACCAAACACAGUUUACUGCUAUCGAAUAUUUUGGAGGUAUUGUUUCUGUUUUUCUUUUUUCUCCAAAAAUGUUCCUUGACCAGUUAUCAGAUGACAAACACUAUUCAGAAGAAGUUCAAGGUGUCUUCGACCCAACUACUGUACCAAUCUUCCCCUUAUCAAGCACUGACCCUAUUUGUCAGCGGCCCGUUUCUUGAUGCUUUCUUAACGAAUCAAAACGUCUUUGCUUUCCAUUAUACACCUGAAGUUCUGGUAAGCAGUAAAAAUAUUAUUUAGAAAAUCCUCUUUUUUCUCAUUUUUCUUACUUUGUGAUAUAAAUCGGUUGCUUUUUGCUGCAGUUCUUCAUCACAUUGUCGUGCCUAAUAGCAGUAUCUGUCAACUUCAGCACCUUUCUUGUGAUUGGAAAGACGUCUCCCGUCACUUAUCAAGUCCUGGGCCAUCUUAAAACGUGCCUUGUUCUGGCUUUUGGCUAUGUUUUGCUUCACGAUCCAUUUAGUUGGAGAAAUAUACUUGGAAUUCUAAUUGCGUUGGUUGGGAUGGUCUCUUAUUCAUAUUUUUGCACCAUUGAAGGCCAGCAGAAAUCUAGCGAAGCAUCUGUGCAAGUAUCACAGGUACUGCCACUAGAAUUACAUUACAUUUGGUUGAUCACUAACUAGACUCUCCCAAGUAAUUGCUUGUUUUGAAGUGGGCAAGCGAAAUUUAAAACAUUAUGGUUUCAUCAAGUUAAAUAACCGAUAAAUUCUCACAGAGCGGUAAUUUAGACAAACAUCCCGGUAACAUUUAAACUUCGAAUUUUCGUUUCCCACUUCAAGAUGCCAUAAUAGUUUAGUUACCUUUUCCCUAAGGUAAGCAUUGAAAAACAAUGUACUGAUAGUCUGAUGCAAAUCAUGAGAGUUUCCUUUCUAAUAUAUCUGUAUUCUUUCUUUAAUGUUCUGAUCACAGGUAAAAGAAAGUGAAUCCGACCCCUUGAUCUCCGUCGAGAAUGGAUCUGGUCCUGUUAGCGACGGUGCUGCUCCGAAAGCUCCGAUGUGGAACUCCGACAAAGAUUUGCGUGCAUAAAAUUUUGCUCGGUCCGCAGAUUUUAUACACACAUCUGAAGUUAAUAGGGCUUCAGCUUUUAGGGGGUCGGAGCGCGACCCAGCCUACUUCACCCAGUCAAGUUAAUUAAGUUACCUAUCAAAGAAGAACUUGUAUUGAUUACAUUUUAUUCCUAUGCAAUUUUUGUCUGUGCUUUUACUAGGUAAGUGUAAAGAACACAUUAUUUUUCAGGCGUGGCGCCCUAAUUAAUGAAUUGUUUUUACCAGGUUUGCUUCUUCUGUUAGACUCAUCCAAUGCCUAUUUCUAGAGAUCGCUUCUAUUGAGCCAUUAACUUAAAAAAGCACUUCUUCUAUUAAACUGUAUUAGAAUAUUUUCACUUAUGAGACUACUCACACUAGGGAACCACAUAAGAUACAUGUACAUUGCUCACUCAGAAACAUGAUGUGCUGCUAAAAGACUAGCAAUUACUCUGUUGCUUUGGCUAAAAGACUAGCUUCUAAAUCAUCCUUUUCUUCUUCUCCAGCUACCCCAGUGAGCUUCUCAGCCCUCUCAGCCUGGGCCUCCCAAUCCAUGUUCCUCACCGUAUACAUCAUAAGGCCCGCGCACGACGCCUGGGCCGCCACUAGGCCCAGCCACAGCCCGAGAAAACCGAGCCCGAGCCUCAAGCUCGCAAGAACUGCGACCGGAAGCCCAACGAGAUAGAACGAGCUGAAGUUGAUGUUUGCGCCGACAGUGGGCCGCGCGCUCCCCCUGAGAACCCCGCAGCCAGCCGUCUGCGGGCAGUUUCCGAGCUCGCAGAAGCCCACUAUCGGGAGCGCUGCGGCCGUCAGCGCCAGUAUUUUUGGCUCGUCGGUGAACAUUCUCCCCCACGCAUGCCGCACCGCCACGGUGAAGAGAAAGGCCAGAAGCCCACAGGCCGCAGACGCGUAAAGGCCCACACUCGCGGCGAGCCUGGCCCGGGCCGGGCGGUGGGCCCCCAAUUCGUGGCCCACCCGGGUAGACAGGCCCAUGCUUAACGAGGACGGCAGGACGUAAACGAGACCCGUUGUCUGUAUCAAGACGCCCAUCGCGGCCACGUUGGGCUGCGGGUCGGGCAGCAGGCCGCAGAGGAUCAGCAUCACCUCAUACCACCACCACUCGAGGCACACCGAUACCGCACUCGGCACCGCGAGAGAAAUGAGAUGCCCCCAUUCCCUUAGGUCCCCCGGGAACGAGGCCCAUCCGGCCCACGGUUUCAGAACAUCGUCGAAGAGGAGGAGAAAGCCCAUCAGGCCCAAGUUGAUGUUUAUAGUGUUCCAGGCCGAGGCGAGAGCCACCCCUCGGACCCCCAAGCCCAUGUAGGACACGAGGAAGCAGUUGAUCGGCGCGUGGAGAAGGAUCGCGAAGGUGGCGCAGAAGGUGAGCGGCCUAGUUAAGCUUUGGGCCCUUAAGAAUAUCCUCAGCGGGUGUAAGCAGGCUUGGGCCAAGAGGUCGGGGAGCGAGAAUAGCAAAUAGUCGCGGGCUUGGGCCGUGAUUUCCUUAUCCUGGCCCAAGUAGAGGAGAAUCGAGUCCAUUUUGAGCCAGAGGAGCGAAAUGGGGGCGGCGGCGAGCAGGAGGAGGAGGAGAGUCUUCUGAAAGGCUUGGCCCAGCACGGCCCAUUUCUUGGCCCCAUAGGCCUGGCCGCAGAUGGGCUCCAUGCCCAUGGCCAGGCCCUUGAGCACGGAGUAGCCCGUGAUGUUGGCGAAGGCGAUGGCGAGGGAGCCGCCCGCCAGCUGGGCGUCGCCGAGGCGGCCCAGGAAGAGCAUCGAGACGACGGAUCUCGAGUAGAGGAGGAAGCUGGUGAUCAUGAUCGGCCACACGAGGCGGCCCAGCGACACCAGCUCUUCGCCUACCUGCACAUGCAGUAGAAAUAGUAAAUCACACAAUAACAUGCCAAAAAGUAAAAAAAAAAAAAAUAAAAAAAUAAAACAUUAUUAUCCAACUCUUAACGGCAUUUAUAACAUCUUAAAUGAACAACAAGCCAAGCCAUAAUAGUACUGCACGCAUUUCAUGCGCUUGCGUUUUAAUACUUAAAGCCAAAAAAAGGGUAGUUCUAAUGAUUCUUUUAAUAUAAGAUCUGUUUGUAGUUUCUGACUCAGUUUUAAAUGCUAAGAGUGUAAGCGUACGCACACCUCGUUGUAAGUGACUUCAUUACUCGGUAAUGUAAAGUUUCUAUCUCGAGAACAUUAAGUUUACUUGAGAAAAAUUCAUAGAAACUUCAUAGAUUCUAUUCUCAAAAUUCUAUAUUGGAAAUUGAACAAAUUCCUUGUAAAACAAAUUAUUGGUACAAUAACAACCUCGAACUUUUAAAUAGACAUUUCAAAUCCUUUAACUUUAAGAACAACUAAUUAAUACCACACCAAGACAAAUGGUAAUAAUAAUAAGAGAAGAAAAUAAUGCACACUAGCCACGAAUCUUCAUUCUGAAGACCAACAAAACUUUCUAAAGAGAGAAUUUUCAACUCAAACAUAGUCGUUACGCCAUAGUCUACGAUGAUAGUUGGCGUUUCGUACCGUACUAUUUUACUAACUGACAGACAGUUGCACGCGCAUGGAGCUAGUAGAAUUGUAACGCCAAGUACCUGGCGUGUGGACUGCCAUUGUCGUUACACGAGACAGACGCGUGCCGAGAGCUGCGCGCAGUGCAUGUGCACAGAAUUUAAAUUUUUGGAAUAAUUAGAAAGAAAAAAAGAAACAUGCAAGCAUAGAUUUGGCUUGACCUAUCAAAUGCAAUCUUGAAUUGCUAACUAUGAGCUCCAUUCUCAACGGCCAAUGGUCCCAUAAACCCUAAAAGCUAAAGUGACUAUGUAUAGACUCUCAUGCACCCAAGUUGUAAUGCCCUAGUUUCAAACAGCCCCUGUUGUAUUUGUGGGUGUAGAAUUGGGUGCUCAAAUGUUUGGUGCAUAGAGUUGGUGUAGUUGUCAUGCUAAAAGGCCCAUCUCAGCAAAGGCAUGGUCCAGGACAAGACAAGAGCAAACCCUACGUGAGGGAGGCCUCGUGGAGGUUGGCUUUAGCACUCUUUGCUAUGAUCACCACCUCUCUCUCUCUCUCUCUCUCUCUCUCUCUCUCUCUCUCUCUCUACAUACCAAGCCAUAUUGAUAAGCAAAAUUCUCUCUCUCUAUACAUGCCAAGCCACUUUGAUAAGAAAAAUAACUUGGGCUCUGUUAUGGAUACUUGAUCUUAUUAUCAUUAAUGUAUCCAUAUGUAUGUAUAAGAUGAGUAAUUUAUACGUCAUACAUUAGUAGGCCAACACAUCAGUAGCUCAUAAUAAUAUGAUCCAGUAGUUCUAUUCUGUACUGAUAUAAUUAAGUAUGGUUGCAUAAUUACAAAGGUGCCCAUAUAUACCUAGCUUAGAAAAAAUAGAGAAGCAUGGAGAGAGAGAGAGAGAGAGAGAGAGAGAGAGAGAGCACUAAACCACCAAGUUGACUCUCACUUUCCAUCUAACUCUCUAACAUAUUUCAACAUACAUUUAGUUAAUCUUUGCAAAAAAAGAAAAAAGAAAAAAAAAAGCUGUAGCUAUUAAUUAAAUGCAUGGUAUGAUAGAAGUUUCUAUAACAGAAGAAGAUAAGGAGAAAAGGUCAAAAAAAAAAAAAAAAAAAAAAAAAAAAAAAAAAAAAAAAAAAAAAAAAAAAAAAAAAAAAAAAAAAAAAAAGAAGAAGAAAAGAAAAGAAGGAAGAGGAGGAGGGACAUAUAUGAAGAUCAUAAAUAUAUGAAUAUGCACCUCAUGGAGAUUUGGCCACCCCAUUGAUCCAUCAUUUAGCACCUUCUCUUCUCCUUCACUCCCCUUUAGAUCUUCCGUCGCUCUCGUUGUCGCAACAACGGCGCCCUCGUCGCACGGCGCUCGAUCGGGCUUAUUGCUAUUGUCCAUGGAGGCUCAAUGUAAUCAACAAGAAGGAAAAUGUGAGAGUGAGAGGAUAAAGAGAGAGAGAGAACAAAAACUAUGGGAGAGUGAACAAAGUAAACGAGGUGCGUUGGGCUUUUUAUAGGGUGUAUAUAGGUGCAAAGAAGAGGAGAAGGGACAAAAAAAGUAAAGGAGCAUGUAUUGAAAUGUGGCAAGAGCUAGAGUGUUUUACUUUCUAACCGAAUCAUAAUCCUUUUCACUACUUACAUUUUAUGUUUGAUGCACAAAAAUUUAUCCCCGGAAUCCGUCGUUUACGUUAUUGCUUUAAGAUUCGAGCCAAUGGCGUGAUAGAACGACAGAUCAUGCGAUUUUGCGUUGGUUAAUUCUUCUUUUCUUUUCUUUUCUUUUUUUUUUCCGUACAGAGAGUUCCAUACAUGUGUUAAGACUAAUUCUUAAUUAUCUUUUCUUGAUAACCCACACAGACCCUCGGAAUUUACAAAAUUAAUCAACUGACGAACCUGUGGGAGAAGCUCAGUCCAGUGGAGCGACAUAACACUAACCGGUAGUGUCGGCCAAUAGUCGGCCAGUGUGUGUUGACCAGAUUGUUGUUUUUUUUUUUUUUUUUUUCGCCACCUCUCGAGGGCUAUGAUGUCUCAUCCAUGUUAUUUAAUUUACCGGCUGAAUGCCUCUUUCUCAAAAAAAAAUUUUUCUUUUUUCUCUUGAUCAAUUUUUUGAAUAAUACGGCAUCAGAACAAAUCACUAACUCUCUACAUUCCAAGAGACCUGCUUAUAUAUAAGUUAACUUUCUUAUAAUUUACCUGAUAUCAACUAUGACUGCAUGCAUGGAAAAUAUGAUUCCCACAUAAAGAAUAAAACCGUAACGGGGAAGUAAUAAUAAGAGUACAAUAAUAAUAUAGGGAACUGGGGUAAUAUUUAUGAACAAAGUCACAAUUUUGUACCAGGGAGCCUAAUUAGUAGAUAAUGCCUCUGUUGGAUCCCUAUUCUCUCUAUUCUUCGUAAUUAAUUAGUCUAACAUUUUAGAAAAUCACACUUUCUAAAACUGUUUGUUAUGAAUAAUAAUUAAGCUUAUUUCUACUCCAGGGAGCAAUUACAUAUGAAUUGCCAAAAUUAUUUUUUUUUUUUGUUCAAAUUACCAAAACUGUUUAUUUUAUAUAUUUUUACAUCGUUUUAUAAUGAUCUCUUAAAAUUUUCCAACAUUAAUCGAUCGAGUAGUAGAACACGAAUUUUUUCGAAUGGGUCGAUUUAUACUGUUCAAUUUACCUAACUCAAAUCAAACUCAUUUAUAUAGUUAGCACACUUACUUCACUCGAUUUUGUGGCUCGGCCUCAUCGAUCCGUUUUAUUAUGUCAUGUCUCCAUCUUUUUUUUAAAAUUAUUUUAUUUUUGAUGAAUAGGUUUGGUUUUCUUUCUUACUCUGAGCAAAUCACUUGUACAUUCAAAUGUGAGAUGUAAAUUUUAUAUCUGCAUAAAAUAAAAAAAUUAAAUACUUUUUUCAUAUUUUUAAUAUUAAAAAAAUUGAUAAAACUAGUGCCAUAAAAAUGACCAUUAGAUGAAAAAGGAUAAAAUUUACACCUAUCUUUUAGGUGUAGGAGGGGCAUUUCUCUAUCAUUAAUUGCCUUUUAUCUAUGCAUGUUAUGUAUAUAUGUUACUAUGGCAUCGAUCAACUGAUCUCAGCAUUGGUUUUGUGGCUCCAAGGAAAGAGUCUUAUUGACCUAAUGUGACUACGGUUUACGGUGUUUGAGGUUUACGGUGUUUGAGUCGGUACGAAAUCCCAUCCGUGAGAUAAUAAAUCCAAAUUUUCGUGUUUCGAUUCGUUAAAUCUUUGUAUGCUAUUUAUAUCAUAAAAAAAGUCUUAUUGACCUAAUGUGACUACGGUUUUCGGUGUUUGAGGUUUACGGUGUUUGAGUCGGUACGAGAUCCCAUCCAUGAGAUAAUAAAUCCAAAUCUUCGUGUUUUGAUUCGUUAAAUCUCAGUAUGCUAUUUAUAUCAUAAAAAAAGUCAUUUGUACAUUUAAAUGUGAGGUGUUUAUCUUAUAUCGGCACAUUCAAGAGUUUAAACACUCCUCUUAUAUUUUUAAUAUUAAAAAAUUAAAUAAAACUAGUAUGAUGAAAAUGACUAUUAGAUGCAAAAAUUAUAAGAUUUAUACAUACUUUUUAAAUAUAUGCGCAGCAUUUUUAUCUUUUCAAAAAAAAUAGAGAUUAAUGGUUCUUAAAACUAUAUAUGGGUUGCAUUUUAGUUUUCAAAUUUUAAUUUUUUUAUUAAAUACAGGUUUUUUUUUUGAAAAAAUAACACAUAAGUAUAAAGAUUAAAUGACAUGAACUUCAGUCCCAAGUGACAAACAUAACAUUGAAACUUGAUAGUUAUCGACCGUACUCUAAUAGUUUGAAUAAACUGAAGAGUGACAAAUUAAACAUCAAAGAUAUUAUCGUAUUUGGUAAAUUAAACAUUAUUAUAUGUUUCUAAUAAAACACAAAGUACCAAACAUAUAUAUAUAGGUUGCAAAGUUGCUAUCAUAGUGGAAAUAAACAGUUCAAUCGUACAGUUGCUCCAGCUUAAAGUUACUAAUUGUUUAUACCUAUUACCUAAAGUUAUCUCCUUAUUCUUAUUAGUUAUUAAUCUAAAGGUAAUUAAGUUUUGAAUUGCUUAAGCCCCACCUAUUGGAUUUUGACAACCCCACAAAGCUACAUAUAUUUUAUUAUUAUUAAGCAAAUUACGUGGAACAACUACCGCGUUUUGUUUAGGUAUUUAAUUAAUAUACCGAACCACGGAUUAAGAGUACACGUGGGUGCAUUGCUCAAUAAUAAUAAAAUUUUUUGCAGGCUCAAAUCGAGUUGAUCAUCUUAAUCUUAUACUUUCGUAUAAAUAAAUUAAUUACAGCAAAAAAUUAAGUGUAUAUAUAUACAUAUAAUUAAGAUCCUACUUUUUAAACUUAAUCCCGGAGCUAGCAUAGGGUUUUUGGCCCCAAACGUAGGCGGUUUGAGACAUACUAUGGGUGCAUGUUUUGUAUAGAAUAUAUUUUUACUAACUAAUAAUCACGGAGUUUUGGAGCAUAUAUAUGUUUCGAUCAUUGGUGAUGGCUCUUUCUGAUAUAAAAAAUUAAAGAUUAUUUUACUUUUUUACGUUUUAUAUUCUAAAUGACUAAUUAUGUUUCAAUCACGUGUUGUACUAUUGAGAUAAUUUUUAAUUGCACCGCUUUAAAUGAAACAAUAUAGGAGUGUUUAGCAAUCGCGUGAAUGCGAGCAAAAAACCAUGAUAAAGAGUGACGUUUAUUUAUGUGUGUAAAGAUGUAUGCCGCAGAUCCUGCAGUUUGUUUCAUUAGAAAGCAAAGUAUGUAUAUUUGUAUGCUUUGACUCUGAUCCGAGAAUGUUUAGUUCAUACUUGAAAUGAAAAUCAGAAUAAAAAUUUACGAUUUUUGAAAGAAGAUUUUGAUUAAGAAAAAUGAAACUGAUAAAGAGAGAGGAAAUAGGUGUCGGUAAAAAAGAAUUUUGAAUAAUUUACUAUAAAAUGAACUAAUCAGAAAUUUAAAGCCGGAUUGAACUAUAAAUAGAUUUAGUCAUCUCCAUUCCGGGAUGGAAUGAAAACCGAAAUUCGAUUCUUAUAAAAUAAAUAACAAUUAUCGAACUCAAUGAAUUUUAUUAUAAUAUUAUAAUUUAAAAUAGGUGAAUCAAACGUAUACUUCUUGAUCAGUACCGUUUGGUUCGGGUAUAAGCAAGAACUAGCUAUUACAGGGAUAGGUACAAGUAUGGGGAUAAGAAAAAUAGUGUUUGGAUGAAAAUUGGGUUGUUCCCGGGAAUAAGAAUAAUUUUAGAUAGUUUUAUAUAGAAAAUGAAGGUGUUGGUGGAGAUAACCGAGAACUACUAUUCUCGGAUAAAAAAUUACCGUUUGGGUAUAAAGGGAGGAUAAAGGCCUAUUCGUAUUCCUAUUCUCUAACCAAACGCUUCAGAGUCUCUAGCCAUGGAAAAGAUGAAUUUUAACUUUUUUGAGAAAAAAAUGUUUAUAGGAAAUUGAGCGAGCAUAGCACUACUCAACUAGUAAUCCUAGUCCCCAUCAAACGAGCUGGACUUGUGACUUAAAUUGAGGAGUAAAACUAGGGGCGGACGUGGAAUUGAAAAAGUAGCGUAAACAAACCAAUCCAAGUUGACAAUUUUGGUUUGAUAAUUUGAUUCGAUUUUGAUUGUAACUGUAACGUCGUAGUAGCCUCACAUUAGAUUAAAAAAAUAAUAUUGAUUGAAAUAUAUAAAAUCAUGCACGCUAAUAACAACAACUAGAUUUAAAUAUUUUGAACCGAUAGUUUAAGACCAACGAAUUAUCAUUACUAGCGGGUUUGGUCGUUAUAGUAAUCUGGUUCAAUUUUAAUUGUAAGUGGCCUACUUUUUGUUUGAAAAUUUUUCAAAUUAAUUUUUUUUGUCCUAGUAACCAACCAAAAUUUCAUGUGUUGGUGCAUGUAUCAAUAUAUAUAUAUAUAUAUAUAUAUAUAUAUAUAUAUAGAAUUAGGCUACUAUACUAUCUAUAGUACCGAGCUCCGGUACUAUAGUGUUUGUUUUCGAUCUUAGGGCGUUCAAAUCAAUGAUCCACACCGUUAAAUAUGAUCUAGGGUAUAUGAAUGUCUUAGGAAUAAAAUUUUAGUUUUUUUCGAUAUCGUUUACUUAGUAAAUAAAUUAUAUCAAAAUGGACGGUGGAAAUUGAAUAAUCUUUAAAAUUUGAGUAUAGGACUUUUAAAUUUAAGAUCAAGAAUGUUAACCUUAAUCUAUAUAGUUUAAAGUAUUUUCUAUCAAAAUUUGAAGAAAUUUAGAUUCUUCUACACCGUUAAACUCCAAACUUGUCAUAAUAGCCAUUGAAAAUUGACAAUUUUGAAAUAGUUUGAUCAUAAAGUAAACUAUGUCGAAAAAUUAUAAAAUUUUAUUUCUAGAAACUUUAAAUACCCUAGAUCAGUUUUAACGGUGUGGAUCAUUGAUUUGAACGCCCUAAGAUCGAAAACCAACACUAUAGUACCGGAGCUCGGUACUAUAGAUAGUAUAGUAGCCUAGCUCUAUAUAUAUAUAUAUAUAUAUAUAUAUAUAUAUAUUUGUAUAUGUUUAUACCCGAAUAUUUAUCACUGAGCUAUUACUUCGUUUUCUAAGUCAGUCCAGAAAAUUAAUUUGAUAAAUACAAAAUUAUAUGAAUUAAACCAAUAUCUUUUGUAAAUUUAAAUGGUAUCAAAUAAAUAAACCAAAUUGAGAUUAAACUGAAACCGAAACCAAAACACCAUUUUAACAACACAUCAAUAUUUUAAUCUUCUUGAUAUUUAGUAAAUAAAAAAAAUAAUAAAACAAGUGGAAAAAAAAAUAAUUAUUAAAUUGAAAUUGUUACACAAUGACAAUUCAAACCAUGUUGUAAAUCUAACACAAUUCUUUUUUAUAGUGUGAUGUUUGGCGAUCGCAAAAAUAAAGAAUUUUACUAGAGGAAGGAUAAAAAUUUAAUUAAGGAAUAUUUCUACAUGGUAUUAAAAAUUCUGAAAAAUAUAUAAAUUAUUUUAAGAUUUAAAAAGGACAUAUUACUCAUUUAUAAAAUUUAGAAAAAGUAUAUUAGUAUUUAUAUAUUUAUUCAAGAAACUGUUUUUUUUCUAAAUUAUUUUCAAAUCUCUCUCUCUCUCUCUCUCCUCCACUCUCCAUUUGUCCCUCGUUUACUAAAAGGAACACAGUUGUGAGGUGUGAGGUGUCUCACUAUCGCUUCUCUUCCUCCACCUGGUCUCCUCCUCUCGAUCCGAUCGUUCCCAUGGCUCUCCGAACCCUCGCAUCCAAGCGAGCCCUAACCCUAGCCCAAGGGUUAGGGUUCCGGCACGGCGGCGGCGGCGCCGCCCCCUCUGGGGAACACCUGCGUCGCCACGCCCGGGGGCUCGUGACCUUCUCCCUCCCGGAUCUCCCCUACGACUACGGCGCCCUCGAACCCGCCAUUAGCGGCGAGAUCAUGAAGCUCCACCACCAGAAGCACCACCAAACCUACAUCACCAACUACAACAAGGCCCUGGAGCAGCUUGAGGACGCCAUGGCCAAGGGCGACGCCUCCGCCGUCGUCGGCCUCCAGAGCGCCAUCAAGUUCAAUGGCGGAGGUAAACCCUACGCCCCCUUUCCGGUCUUUUCUUUACCCCUCUCCCUCAUCGCGCGUGUUCUUGGUUCCUGGAGUAGGGUUCUAUUAGGGUUUCGGAAUCGAUUCGAUGGUAGGUUUCUGGUUGCAUUUAUCUGGUUUGGCUUUGCAAUUUGGAAUCGUAUAUGACGAUUGGAGUUUUAACAAAUCGAGUGUUACAGAUCUUUUCUCUAUUUUCUCUUGUUGAGUCAUUUAAUUCCACUCAGUCGUGCGCACGAAAGCAUGCAAGAUAUGUGGCAUUAUUGGGAGAAAGAAUUACUCAUAGGAUCAAUAGUUUGUAUUCUAUGUUCUGUUGGAGCCAACAUGAUUAUCUUGUUCUAGGGUUUCAAGGAAAUUCUUAAUCAUAUCGUGUAUCUCUUUUAUUCAAGGUUUAUUUCAUCUAAUCUAAUGAACCAGGUUUAAUUCUCAAAAUCACAAGGAGAUUGUGGGAAUUUUCUUGUGGGAAUCGAAGAGUUCUGAUCUCUCCUUUUAAGCGUUCUUUGGUGUCUAACAGUGAAGAAUUAAUGUAAACAAGGUGUGAUAGGUCUUCUCGCAAGAUAAUUAUCACAAUAUUUAUAUCUCACUCUGUUUGCAGGUCAUGUAAACCAUUCAAUUUUCUGGAAAAAUCUCAAGCCUGUCAGUGUGAGUAUCUGGUAUCUGACUUUUGAAGCUUCAUUUGCGGUGACUAAUCUUAUGAAUUUCUAGGAAUGCAUCGCAACAUUUGGCAUACAUUCUGAGACAUCUGUACAUAACACCUUUGGCUUUGCUGUUGCAAUGUUUCAUUUAUCUUACUGUAACAAAAAAGAAUUCCUUUUGACAGGAGGGUGGCGGAGAGCCUCCUCAUGGGACUCUUGGUUGGGCCAUUGACACGGAUUUUGGUUCGUUGGAGGUCCUUAUACAGAAAAUGAAUGCAGAAGGUGCUGCUUUACAAGGAUCUGGAUGGGUGGUAAGUUCUGUUGGAGCAUCUUCCUUUUGGACACCAUGAGCUCAUGGAGUAUUAGAGGAUAUCACAGUGCAGUGCCUUUUAGUUGAUUGCUCAUUUUCUUUGUAUAAUCUCCGAACAGUGGUUGGCUUUGGAUAAGGAGAUGAAGAAACUUAAGGUUGAGACCACUGCUAAUCAGGUAAACUUCACUUUAUAUAGAGAUUUGCGUUUCUUCGUUUGAACUGGAUCUUCAGAGAUGCAUUCCCUUUUCUCUGAGUUGAAUUAUGUUGGUGAAGUAAUAUCGUUCUUUUGUAUCAUUUAGUUAACUUUUGUAUUUGCUAUAUGAUGUUUCAAUCAGGUAAAAAAGGUAAAUUUUCUACUCAUACUUUUAUUUUUAACAAACCUUCCAUGAACAAAAAUAUCACAAGUUACUAGAUAAUUUGCUUACGGAUGACUACCGGAAACCAUUGUUUGUUCAUGAAAAUCAGCUAAAUAAUCAGCUAAAAGAGUGUGUGAAAAGUCUUUGUUUAUGAAUAAAAAAAACACAACAUAAGUAACCAGUGUCCAAUUAAAGUGAUAAUCAGUGAAAUAUUUUCAUGAGAAAAUGAGCAAGUGAUAUUAAGGACUAAGUCAAUAGACAGUUAGCCACCAAAUUCUUUUUUAUAUAUCAAAAAUUAUUUUCUGGACAUAUGCAUCUCAACAUCUUCCUUCAAUCAAGCAGUGGGUGGCAUAUGGACUUCAGUGAUCUUAUCAUGUCAUGCUUUGAAAAAUCUAGUUGAAUCAACUCUCCGGAGCUUUAGCGCGUGGUUAUUUUAAAUGGUAAACUAUCUUACAUUGGAUGAUUCCAAUCUCUUAAUGCAAUUUUAAUUUUAAAUUGGACAACAUAGAUAACCAACUUUAAAUAGAAAUACUAGGUUAUGAUGUUACUCAGUUGAAGUCAGUGUUUGAAAAGGCGCGCCUCAGUGCCUAGGUGCAAGGCGCGAGUCUCAGCGCCUCAGGGAGUGAGGCGCGCGCCUCAGAUGCGCCUCGUGAUAUUUACGUUUAAUGUAUUUAAAGUGUAGAUUUUUGGGUUUUGAAUUUCUUCAAUAUAUUCUAAAAUGUUAAGAAAUUUUUUAAAAAAAUUUCUAAUUGAACACUUUCUUUUCCUUUUCUUUUGGUCGUUCUCUCUUCCACCCUUCAAUGGCAAUAAAUAGCAGCGGCAAGAAGAAAGAAGCAGCAGCAAACACUUUUAAGCUGAAAGUUGAAACAUAUAUUUUUUUUAUUUUUAUACUGAGAACAUUUAUGCAUGCGAUUUCUUUAUUUUUUUAUAGUUAUUUUGUUUUUGUAUAAUUAUUUUAGAAUUUUUUAAUAUAAAACAUCCAUUUAAAAUAGGCUUGUUAAAAGUGUUUUAUUUUUAUUAGAUAUGCGCUUCGCGGUGCGCCUAGCGCCUAGACUCCAUAAGACCUUUAUGCCUUAUUGCGCCUGGUGCCUUUUCAAACACUAGUUGAAGUAUACAAAGUACAUCAGAAAACACUAACCGUUAGAAGCACUUAGAGUUGACCUUAAUUUUGCUGUUCUUGGAUUGUUUGUAAACUCGAUUUUCUGGGAUUGAUUGACAAAGACGGAAAAUUAUUUGCAAAGUCUCUCUGUUUCUUUGCUUAAAAAGAAAAGAGUAAUUUGCAAACUAACCGAUGAUUGCAACACUGGGGAAACUCUAGGUGAUCUGAACCUCAUAAAACUUGAGGAGAAUAAAAUUGGAAAACAUAAAACGAUGCCAAAUGCAACUCAGAUUAAAUGUUACUAUUUUACAUGGCUGGAUUAGUUUCUAUACAUGUCAAAUGUGAAAUGAUCUCAAGUCUCCUGAGCCUUAGAUCUAAGAAGAAAGUAAGAAGCCCUUGUAGCUGGCAAUUGUAAUGAGAGUUGUCUUUUGAUUAUGUAAUGAUUUGCUCCUAGGCCACCUUUCUUUGUGUCUUCCUGGAACUAAGUUUCUUGAGCCAUGAUCAAUCCCAUGUGCAUACUGUGUCACUUAAACAUAUAUCAUUUGCUAAUUUGCAAUCUUUAGUCACUAUAUGCAUAUGACAGUAUCUAAACAAUUCCUUUUUCACAGGAUCCUCUAGUGACUAAAGGAGCAACCUUGGUUCCUUUGCUAGGUAUAGAUGUGUGGGAGCAUGCAUACUACCUGCAGGUAAAUAUUGUGUCUUUUUCGAAUUUCAUCAUAAAUGUAUAGUAGAACAGUAAUCUUACACUUUGCUGCUGCACUUUAAACAGUUUUUGUAUUUAUAGUAUCAUUGACUGUAAAUAAUGAUUUCUUUCGACUUCACAUUACACCAUUUAAACUUUCAAACAUAAGCACUCCAGAACCUGGAAAUAAUAAAGUGAAGAUCUGCUGCUAAUUACAACACGUUCUACUGAUGGAGGGUUCCAAUAGCGUACGAAAUGUUUUAUUAACUAUGAUCUACUAGAUGAUCUGCUAUUUAAUGGAUAUCUCUUUUUCUAGGGAGUCAGACUAUGAAUUGUAACUGUUCACUUUUCCUCUACUCGUAAAGCCUCAUAACUUGUUACCAAGUUCUAAUGCUAAAUCUUGAAACUAAUGAUGAUUAAGGCUUCUCAGACUUCUGACCAUGGCAGAUACCAUCUAAAAGAAGUAAAAGUUAGAUAAGCAUUUUUUAACUUUCAGUACUAUCUCCGCUUUCCUCAUCAUCUCUCUGUAUCUAUAUCCUCAAAGUUAGGGGUUUUGUAUUAGUCUUUUGGUUGCAGAGACAAUGAAGAAUGCACUUGUUUUGGCUAUUUAGCUAGUAUAGCAGUUUAUCUAGGAUGGUUAUCAGGCUAUGCAAAAAAUUAACAAAUAAAGAGAAUAGGGUCACACCCUCACAUUUGGUGAACUCCUCUUAGGGUUGGAAGUUCCUUUUAGGUUGAUUGAACUAUACCUUUGCUGCUUCCGUAGCUUGUCUUAUUUUUCUGUUCAGAAGGUGUGGCAGGUAAGUUUCCUUUUUCUUUGAGCAGUACUUGAGAAAGCAAAUUAUACUUUAUGUGCUGACAACUUGACAUGGUUGGUUAACUCUGACGAGAGGAAUCAACUCCAUCUGUUAUCAGCCUCUUGUUAGUUUUGAAAUAUGUCCUUUAUGGUAUCAAAUAGAAUUCUAUACAACACACUCAAUUUACCACAGAUUCUGAAUAGAGUGGCUGGAAGAUUGUAUUUCAAAUGUGAUUAAAUGAAAAUGUUAGAAUUAGCAGUCAAUACCCUGGUGAUGAAUUAUCUAUCCACAUAUAUGCUAGUCUGGCUAGGUUUUUAUGGCUGCUUGAAUAAGGUCUAAAAUGGGACACGCUAUGUUACUUUCUGAUGAUUUAUUUGUUUCACACAAUCAGAGAUCUAUAUUAUGGCUAUGAUUCAAAAAGCAUGUGAAAAUUACUUGUGACAUAUCUGAUACAUCUGUCAGUAAAGAAUACUCUAUUGCUCUCUGAGAUGGUGCUUGUGACGUUUUAAGAAAUGUUUUAUAGCUGGAUUUGUGUUGUGCUUAUCUUCCUCAUUUUGAUUUUAAGCUAGGUGUUGAUCUUAAACAUUUUUUGGGUUAAUUUUGACGAAGAAUUUUCUCUGAUAUCUUGGAUAGUCUAUCGGUGAGAAAUAUGCUUUGUACUGUGUUCUUGUAGGAUGCCUAAAUAAUGCACUUACGAAAGAUUUUCGGAACUUGGCAGAAUUAUGAAAAAAAAUUGCAAUCAUUAGUUUUCUGAGCCAAUUUGACUCCAACUUGCCUUAGAAAGAAAUUGAGCUUGCUCAUCAAAUUCCUAAGAUCUAAGUUUAUGGUCUGUAACUUAUUUGUCUCUCUGUAAAUUGGAAAUGAACAUUUAGUACUAUUAGAGUAACUUAAAAGUAGCCGCAAGCCAGUUUAUAUCAUAUUCUCAAUUCUUGAUAGGAGUUCUCUGUCAAGAGCCAUAUUUUUCUCGUUGGUCUAUCACCACGAUUGAACACCAUUAAAGUUGAAUGACUAAAGCAAUGGAGCUAUCCUUAAUUAUAUUUUGUAAUAAAGCGAAUAAGAUUUGCGACUACAAUUUUAUUUUCUUUUCUUUUCCUCUCCUGUUGAGAUUGGAAAGGUAUCACCCACAUAUGUAGCCAAAAUCAUUAAAUCAAAGCAACACUAUUUACCAGUGUGGAGGCACAGGUACCCACGUAGUUAAUGUAAUAUAUGGAAAUCUAAAAUCUGUUUUGUAUGCAUUUACAAGUUUUAACUGCGAAGUGGGCAAGUUCUUGCUGCUCGUAUAAAAAAUCUUUUCUCAGGAUGUUCUUGUUGUUUUAUUUGAUAAUAAAUUACCAUGAACUAGGAAUGGCAAUAUAGGAGAUGGAUGCAAUGAAAAUAGCUUCACUUGUCUUAGUGAGCAUGUAAUGAAAAUGUUGGGCAAACUUCUUAACAAUUCAAAUACUUUGCAUUAUCUCCAACCAUAAUCGUCCAUUGUAAUGUGGUUCAACCAGUACCAGAUAGCUUUUCGGACCUAGUUUAUCAGUAGUCAAUCAUUUGGGUGAAUUAAUGGUACUGUAUAAAUGGAUUAUGAUUCUCUGAUGCAUAGAUUCUGUAAUUUAUUUUUCUUUUGCAGUUUGUGGGUGCAUCAGAACAUUUUCUGAUGUCGUAUUUCAUUCUCAAUGGUUCUUACUAUUUAUAUGCUUUUUCAUGGGAGUAUCUGUUUGUGUGCUUUAGGAUUAUCAGUUUGUUCGCUUAAUUACAUUUUGAUGCUGUGUUGCAGUACAAAAAUGUUAAACCCGACUACCUUAAGAACAUAUGGAAGGUCGCGAACUGGAAAUAUGCCAGCGAGGUUUAUGAGAGCGAAAUCGCCUGAGGUAAGCUUUUCUAUGUCCAUUCUAACAUGGGUUAUCGCAUGCAGUGUUGCCCUUCUGCGUUUGCCAUGAAGAGAGGAUACUUUUAAAUUGAAUAAAUUUGGACCUUCUAGGCCUGAAAUCUUGUUGAUACAUUAUCUACUAGUUGAAUAACACCGCAGUGCCUGUAGAUGUUUCUUCUUAAUCUUGUCCACUUGUCUACUGAAGGCCUCGUUUGGUACCGCUGUUGAUGUUUUUUCCAAGUACAAAUUCUAUGAGAUAAAGUGCAUUGAGUGAUGGCAGAUGCUCGUAAUUUAUACAUCUACAAUGUUUUGGCAACAAAAAUGGUAAAUUUGGUACCACCUUACCAAGUUCUUACAUGGUUUCUUUUUUUUUCCCAAAACAAGAUGUCAUUCCAUGUUCGCAUAUCACAUUGAGUAAUUAUGAGAAGCACAAAGAAGUCCAUCUCUCAGUGCAUUUGAUCAAAAUAGAUUUUGCUGAGCAAAAAACCAACAGCGGAACAAAACAGGCAUGAACUACAAAUUUUCACAUUCGUGUUUAGUGCUAGAAAAGGGGCUAAAUUAGACUAUUAGGUCUUAAAUUUUUACUCGAGUUUCCUCCUCAACUUUGGUUUACUAUCUUAGGGGAUUUAUACUCUUGAGUAUAUAUAUUUCAGUCUGAGUCUUAUCAUCGAAACAAAAAAGUGAUGUGACACGAAGUGUGAACGUCCUAUUUUAGUAGGUGUAAUGGAAGUAGUGUGAAUCUCAAGGGCAGUGGAAGUUGAGAGUGUUGUUUUGGUAAUGCAGCGGCCAAAUUCAAUUAUUUCGGUAUUUGAAGGUUAGUGGUUUAAGGAGUUUGAAUUGACGUGGAUGUUAUGAAAUGAUGGUUGGCUGCUUCACAGGUUGGUGGUGCUUUUUUUUUUGAAUUUUGUAGUAUUAGAGAAAACUUUCAAAAUGAAAUUCGUCACUGGCACGUUUUGCAAUCUGCACUAACCGCUUUUUAUGUCUAAAAAUUUAAGAUUAUAAUUUAUUAAUAUGUAAUGAUUUUAGUACUGUAGGAAACUUUAUCAACAUAAAGAAUAUAUUGUUGCAUAUAUAUAUAUAUAUAUAUAUAUAUAUAUAUAUAGAGAGAGAGAGAGAGAGAGCUAGGCUGAGAGAGUAUUGGUAGCACGGAGGCAUCUGUGCUAUCAAGUUGUUUUUAAUGUUGCGGCUUUCAAAUCGACGAUCGGCUCCAUUAGAUUUUGAUCUACACUAUUAAAAAUAGAAAUUAAAUUUUAUAAUUUUUCGGUAUCAUUUACCUGUCAAACGAGUAGUUUUAAAAUGAACGACUGAAAAUAAAAAUCUUAUAAAAAAUAAUAAUAAAAAAUUUAAAUUUAAAAUCAGAGGUGAUGAUCUUACUCUAUAUUGUGGAAAAAAUUUUUUAUAAAAAUUUCAUCAUAUUUGAAUUGUUUUACACCGCUAAACUCAUAAACGCAUCACAUCUACUAUUAAAAUUGUCAAUUUUGAAACCUUUUGAUCACCAGCCAAAUGAUAUCGAAAAGUUAUAAAAUUCAGUUUUCAAAUAUUUUUAAUAGUGUAGAUCAAGUCUGAUGAAGCCGAUUGUCGAUUUAGAAACUGUAUCAUUGAAAACAACUUGGUAACACGGAGGCUUUCGUACUAUUGAUAGUAUACCAGCUAGCUCUCUCUCUCUCUCUCUCUCUCUCUCUCUCUCUCUCUCUCUCUCUAUAUAUAUAUAUAUAUAUAUAGUAGAAUUACUAUAACUUUAAAUUUGAUGCUUUCAAUUUUUUUAACCUUUAAAUUAAUUUUUUUUUAUCAUUUUUAUUUUUUAGAUUAAUAUUAUUAUUCUAUGAAACAACUAGAGACCACGUAAUCUUAGGGGGGAUUAUUAUCAUCUUAAUUGUACAAUUCUUUAUCUAAAGGUUAAAAAAUUAAAAGCAUUUAUUUUUUUAAACUUUCAAAAGCAUAGUGGUUCUACACUAUUUGCUGCUUUUAUUAAAUGCAAUACAUAUGGAUUGUCACUAAUAAUUUUUUUAACGGAUAUGACAUAAAUCUCAAAGAGCCUGCGGCAGAGGCAGAGAGCAUGGUUGCUGAUGGUGAUAACAUACAGGGAUAGUGCUGGCAACAAGAGUACCGAAAGAUCUAAGAACGACGAGGACGCCUUAAAUCCUUUAGUACUCUCUCUCUUGCCGCCAUAUGCUGUAGCUAUCGCCCCCGCCCUUCGGACGCGUUCUCCCUUCUCAUCUUCGUUAAAUCUUUCGAUAUUGUCAUCAUCUUUCAAUAUUCUCAUCGUCGCCACCCUCCACAGCCAUUUUCCUUACAAGCUCCCCUCCACAAUUUAUGUCAUAUCCAUUAAAAAAAUUAUUAAUAAUAGUCAACAAGCGAUGCGUUGGUUUUGAAAGCAAAACGGAAAAAAAAAACUAUUUUCUCACGAAGAGCAUAAAAGAUAUAAGUGCUUUUUAAAAAUUUCUCUGAUCAAGUUAUAAAAGGAGACGAGUAACAAACGAAUGACGCCAUUAGUGGCUCAAUAAUAUGCUCUUUGGAAAAGCACGUCUCCGUUCUCACCAUCACAGACGCUAAUGAACACCGCCUCGAUUACGACCUCGUUGCUCCACCCACGACCCACACACAUUCUGAGCCCUCCCCUCCGGCGCCGAUGGAGGCGGAGGAAGAGACAGUGAUAAAGGUUAAAAAUUUAGAUUGAAUAUAUAAAAUUCAACCUGGCCCGCUUUUGCAAAAUCAAUAAAUAUUUUAUGCAAAUUGAUCUUAAAAAAUAAAAAAUUAUUAUUUUUUUUAAGAAAAAACUAUUUAAGGUUUCGCGUGCAACCUACCCUCAGGCAAGAUACCAAAUCGUGCGGUGAAUAUUCAGUUGGGCAGACAGGCCAUCUCUGAAAAUUGGAUCAAAUCACCAUCGUCAGCACGUACAGGUUUGCUUUUGCUUCCUCUUCCAAAAGUGGAACCUCCCUCCUCCUUGCACGCAUUUGAUGGUGCUCCCAAAGCCAACUAGCUGAAAAUUUCACUCACCUUUGAUGCCGAAUUGCGUGAGCCAGCUCGAGGCAAGAAGCCAUCGGGCAAUUCGUCUUGACUGCGUUCGGAGCAAUAUGUGAUCUGCACGCGGCGUAGCCUUCCUGCGUGCAAUCUCUCGGCAUCAUGUACGCCUCAAUAAUGUUGCACAACUAAAUGAAUAAAUUAGACAGAAAAGAUACUGGAAUAAGCAGCAGCAGCAGCAGCAGCAGCAGCAGCAGCAGUUAAAAGUCAAUAAUUCUUCAUCUUUUUCUAUCAAUAAGAUCAGAUCUUCCGCCGUAUAAACUUUAAAAGGAUCCUCAAAAGGAAAUGCUUAGUCCAAAAUAUUGGCACAACUAAAGAAUAAAAAGAUAGUAACACCUACCCUUCGUAAGCUGUUGAUGAGGGUGGCGAGGGGAGGAGAAUUAAUUCUCGCUCGGCUUGCAAUCUGUCGAUCGGAGAAAGGAGGGAUGUAAGAUUAAUACCCAUCGGAACAUUUAAACACACCUGUAAAUCAGAUCUUUAUGGCCACAGCAAUGACGCAGCUAGUGAGGGGAAAUAUCCGAGGCACAUCGGCCGAUGGAAAGUAAAACUUAAAUGGAUUAGAAAUGUUUGGGCGUUCUCAAAGAAAUCAAAGUUGCUAAACUAAAAAAAAGAAAAGUGUCAAGGUUGCUUCUCUGGAAUAAAUACCUCGUCGAGUUUGAUGUAUCCAGAAGGCAGCAGAGGGUCACUUUCCUCGAUCAUUAGGUUGAGAAGCUUUUCUAAAUCGACACCGUUGCCUUUGCCGUCAGUGUAUGCCCAUCCCCAUUCCGUAGCUAAUCUUAACAUAUCAGAUAAAUAUGCCGCAUCAUGAAGAGGGCCGGUCCAAAGCGGACCAGAGACAACUACAGAGCUGGAAACCUGUAGAAAAUAAUACAAGGCAUCAGAUGUUAUUUUAGUCAAUACUAAAACAAGGGGGCUUGGCGAACAUUUUGUAGUCAUACAUUCUAAAUGUAUGGAAAAAUAAAAUUGAUCAAUCAGGCACAAUUGAUGUGAAUAUGGGGGAAAUCAUUCCUACUACAUUAGCCAUCACAAGUAUGUGACCAAGAAGAAUUAAAUGCUACGAAGUAUUUGAUAAUCCUUCAAUGUUUGCACGUUAUAGUUCACAAUCAUUUUGUGGAAAAUUUAAAUUAAAAAGUGGACAAAAGAUUCACUGAAUGAACCAAGUCAUUUCAAACAACCAGCACGUGCUGGAAUGUUCUACGGUUCAGCUGUACCCAGCGUAUCUAUUUUUGACAAUUCAUAUACUGAAAGAAGAAUUUGCAUAAUGCAAACGAGUCUAGCGCAUCUAAUUUCAAGGACAUGCCAGAACGAUAUACAAACGGGCAUGCAUAAGAGAAGAUAAAUUACCAUCACUUGCAGGAACAGAUAUCCUAUCUUUCAACUUUCGAUCCAUAUAAUAUUCCUGUAUGGUAGUAAAAUUCUCUGAUAAUUUUCAAGAGCUAAAUUUAGAAGAGGCUGAAAUGUAUACCUCGCCAUUUCUACAAGGACAGGAAAUCUGCCCGAGUUCAUCCCAAGAAUAAGUUUGAGAGUGCCCACAUAGUUUGCAGUAACUUAUGAAGCCGUAAUGGCUGCAAGAGGAAAGAAUAAAAAAAACUGCAUAUCAUACAAUGUUUUUUCGAGCUGUUAAAAAAAAGAUACAGCCACGAAUAUUAAACUAUCAGAGGGUAAUUACGACGUGUCCACCUGAAGUCGUGGUCCUUUCCACGGGAAACUUGUAGCAUCACUCUGAAUACAGGAGCAUGAUACGAAUAGUAUGAGAACAGUGGCGUUAUCUGAAAGCCUACAGCAGCUGCUUCACGUAAAGCACCACCUAAAAGCAUUCGCAAACCGAUCUCAUUUGAAUAUGGCACUGGGCGAACAUAUGCUCCAUAGGAAGCCAAAGAACUAGAAGGAAACAAAUAGUUACAUACACACUACCCAAGAUUCCUACUUAAUAAAUGGAACCACUACAAUCAUGAAACAAUUACAUUUUGAAGCACAUAAAGAAGAUGGCCAAUUAUAAACAUCGUAAGGUAAAAUUGUUCGCCCAAUGAAGACCUGAAAAAAAAAGAAAAAAAUGGGCUGGUUCACACUCCCACACUUUUCUAGAUAAGAUUUUCCUAAUACUACUACUUUCAAGGCAGAACCUGCGAAUUGCCAUGUAAUGCAGAAUCUCUGGCCAGUUGAAGUUCAAGAGUAGUGGUAAAACUAUAUUUGGCUGCUAUAAGAUUGACAAAAAACUUAAUGGUUCCAAAUGUUGAGCGGUCAAGACAUGAUGCUGAAAUGAGAAUGUUUUAGAGUUAUAAAAGAUUGAAAGGUCUCACUUGAGAGAUAGAGAAAGAAAUAAGAAACGAAAUAAUGGUGGAACAGAUAUAAAAAGAUAAGAUAUUUAAAAUAGUUUGGACAUGCUUAAGGAACCUUUGAUUUAUGGAGGACAAUAUCAAAAACAAAAUUGAAUAGGGAAAAGAAUUCAUAUACCCUCUCACAAAAACAAGGCGAUAUCGUAUCUUCUGUAAGAUUCAAAUAAACUCGUAAUGACAUAGUAUCUCAGCCAAGCUAAAGAAUACAAUUGAAAGCAUUGAAGGCUCCAAUUUCAUUUAUUCUAAUAAAAAGGGGAUCUCCUUUGUCUUUCAAAAGGAGAAAAUAAACUUGGUGUCAAGGGCAUUUGGUCCUCCUCCAGCUAUCAUGCAUAUCAAACCUGCUUUACCCUAAGAAAAAUUAAAAACUUAUGAUUCAGCAAGCUGAAUUGGCUUGCCGAAUCAGUAAAUACGCUUCACUCAAGGUGGUCCUACAUGUGCAUAAGGACUCCUUGAUCGAACGGUCCUCACUGAUUCGGUGAGAAUAGUACGACUCUUAACCUCAUAGAAGGCAAACAGGCUAAAGCUUGUCUCCUAAUUUCCUCUAAAAGGACAGUAAACAUUGCACAAACAAUAAUUCUUUUUCUUGCUUCUUCGCGUGGAGAUCGAAUGUAAAUUUCAGGAGAAUAUUUGUCCAUUUAACAUAUUCUCCAAUACUUUUGAAGAACACAAAAAUGAAAAAAAGAAAGAAAGAUAUGCAAGCACAAAAAUGCCCACCACUUAUUUCAUCAAAUAAACUACCAUUCCACCCAAGAAGUCACACUCGCAAUAGCAACACAUCAAUAACACUGCUUGCUAAGCGUAUUAUUCGAAAAGCUGUAAUGAACACGCAAAAGAACCAAUUGUGCUUAAUUCAUCAAACGAAAGAAGCAUUAGAAUGUUACCAACGAGGGCGAUGCCCUCCUGAUGAUCUACCGCAGGUCGACGUGACGUACAAAAGCCCUCCGAUCUUGACCGCGGCGAUGCCCGAUCUCAAGAACGAGGAGUCGCUCCCGAAGGAGUCGACGUCGACCAGAUCGAAGAACUCUCUCCGGAGAUAGCAAUCGGCGAGAACCCUAUUGGCACCGAAGUGGGUUACGACCCACCUCCGCUCACCGAGGGUGGAGAACCUGGGCUCGCGGGCGAGGUUGGCGAGGACGAGGGGGCGGGAGCCCUCGAAGGCGUCGUUGGCCCAGACGAAGUCGGCGCCGCCCUGGGCGAGGUAGCGGAGGGCGCGGACGCCGCACCCGCACAUGGCGUCGAGCACGCGGAGGCCGCCGCCGCCGCCGCCACAGCAUCGGCGGAGGAGGGAGGCGGAGAGGACGCCGAGGUCGCGGCCCACGGCGCUCUCGCGGCGGAAGAAGGAGUCGCCGGUCUCGAACUCGACGCCGCGCUCCGCCUCCCUCGAGCUCGUCGGGGUCAGGGUUCUCCUCCUCGUCCUCGUCCUCGUCCUCCUGAUUCUUCGGGGGCUAGGGUUAGGGUUUAAGGGAUGAGGGAGGAGGAUUGGGUGAACGGAAGAGAGAGCGAACAUGGCAUUGGCGGGGUAACGAGGAUUUUCAAGAUUGCCUCGAGCCAACGAUUUCUGGGAAUCGGAUUUUAUUAACGAGGCUUUCUUUUCAGCCUUCGAACUAUCGGAUCGGCUUUCGGACCCGAUAACCCUUUUCUAAGAUCAAUAUCAGGCGAGUCGAGUUGGAUUCAAGAGGGAAAAUACUAAAAUUAUAUUAGAUUCUCCAUGAACAUCUUUUGUAAAUAGUAACUUUUGGAUUUUGAAACUUAUAUUCUAGCUCCACAUCCCACCGUCGUAGAAAGAAGAGUCAAAAUUUUUUUUAUUUUUAGUAAAUGCGGCUAAGGAAGAAGUAAAAGCUAAACAGUUCGCCAAACUUCUGCUACGGGCUAACAUGCAGGUUCGGAUUACUUAAUAGGCAUAAUGAACAAAAGACGGCCACAACUAUUGUGAGAGGUGAGAAAAUUGGGGAAAGUAAUUUGCGGCUUCCACUCUGCCAAACUACAAAAUGUCACUGGAAAGAUUACAUCUGCGAACAAGCAACAUUUUGUGAUUAUGGGGUUAUAUAACCCUUUUGCUAAGCACAAGAUUGAUCCUCCAAAAAAGGGGGAAAAAAUAUCUAUUAUAGAGGCAUUCAUGUAAUUGUCUAACUAUGACUGUACCACUAAUGAGAUUAGAUUAAGCUCAGAUCUCGAAGAUCCAGCAUCAAGAUUCAACUUGAGAUUCAGUUGUGGAUUGAGCUAGAUGAGUUGGCAAACUUAUUCAACUUUUGCCACUCCUCCCUCUGGCAUACUGCUUUCUGCAACAGUCUCUCUCACAAACCUGGAAAGAGUAUUACUUGUUGAGGUUAAACACUUUUGGGCCAAAAUUGACAGCUAUACAUGAGUGGGCAACAAAAGCCUAUAAUAUUCAGUUAGCUAUCUACAAAUUAGCUUCAACCCUUUGCAGGUAUUUAAUUGAGGGAAAAUUAGUGAAGCUGUGACAUAGGCAACAAGCAAAAACAAAGGGCAGAAAGAAGCAAUACCUAGCUAACUUGUCUUGAGAUGAUUGCAAGACAUAAAUUGCAAGGAUGAACGACAGAACGAGCCCUGUGAUUCAAAUGAACAAAGCCAUGUAAAAGACGUUUCACCAUGAUCACCACUGUAAUAUUCUUUUUUCCCCAAAAAAGCCCAAAACAGAAUGUUUAUCUAAUGAGUGGCAAUGCAAAGUAUUAACUAUGCAUCAACAAAAGAUAGAAUGAGAUAUAUAAGGGCUUUUUUAAUGUAGAGGGUCCGCCGUACCUGAUCCAAACAAUACAUAAUAACCCCCUGCAACAUCUAUUUCUGAUUGCUCCUCCCUGUUAUUAAAUGUAAAAGUGUCAAACAAUGUCUAUAUAAGAUGCAGACAAAAAUAGAAACAUAUCAUUCACCUAUAAUAACCUAAUAAAUUUAACAAGUAACAACCAUGGAAGGAUAGUUUCAAGGGCGUUCUUCAGUUAAAUGGACCAGAAGUAAAAUUUAACAACUACAAAAUAGCCAAAUAGCCAACUGGACCACAACUGGGGAUGUAAGUAGAACUACACAAGACAAAAGUGAUAGUAUCUCUACCUCUUAUGCUUUAUCGUGUGAUUAUUGUCUGAUUCUUGAGCUAAACAAAUUUUGUUCCGAACAAUGAUGUAUGGCAAUCUCAACAAAAGAAAAUCUAGGAUAUAAUGAUUAGUCAAUAAACAUAAGUUGUUAAAUACCAAAAAAGAGAAGAAAAAAAUUAGUCAAUCAUUCAAAAUGCCAAGUUCACUGACAUUUAACUAGAGAAAAGGGGAGUAAUUAGGAUAAAGAGGCUUCAUUAUCCAUAGCCAUUUCAAGUCGAAGGCUGUUCAUUAUUUAUACCCAUUUCAAGUCAAUGGAUCUCUCUUCUAAGAUAUGAAGGUCAAGGUAUGCUGGUUUAUUAUUUCAAACGAAGUUCAAGAUUCAUUUUUUGAGCAUGAUUCCUUGGUUAUUUGAUAUUCAUUGCAAUAACAAAAACACAAAAGGACAAACCCAAUCAAGUGAUUCUAUACGAAUGGCAAACUAUUGAAGAUUUCUCUCUUGGAUAAUUAAGUCCAUCAAGAUUCAGAGAGACUUUCGGACUGUCUGAUUACCCUCAAUAGAGCUUAAGCAUUGUACACCUCAAUGCUUUAAUAAAAUCAAAAUGUUUAUAUCCAAGCAAAUACUCAGUUCUGCGAGGCAUUCUACAGCUGAAAUAAUUGAAGAAAUUGAGAGUAUGAUUUCAUUCAACCAUAAUAAUUUUAUCCAGUGGAAUAUUAUGUUGCACUUCCAUUGUUUUAUUUAGUCUAUUAAAGUCUAAGAAAAGACAAUAUGCCCUUCCAUAAUAGCAAGGAGAUAGCAGCUAACCAAAAGAAUGCAAAAACAUACGCAACAAUAUGCCAAUUGUCCAGACCCCUAUAUCGCAUAAGAACUAGAUAUAUGCGAUCAUAAAUUCAUAAUACAAUCACAUACUACCUCACAGGUUCAAGCAAAACAAGACUGAUAAAGCCAAAUAUGUCUGAAAAUAACAGCUAACUAAAAAACGUAUAGGCUACUAAUUGCAAAAAGUUUGAGCCAAGACCGCCAACAAAAUAGUUACGGACUUUCUCCAACAACAAGGAGGUCAGAUACUCACCAUGUGUACCUGACAAGUACAUAUUUUGGCCAAUGUUGUGGGUUCCAAAAGUUCUUGCGUAUGUCAGGAUGUACCUCAAUAUCUGCUCAAAGCAAAAAUAUAAAUCAAAACUGACAAAUUGUAUUAACAAAUCAUGUGCCUCAACCAAUUAAAGUUGAAACCUUUAGAAGCAAUCGUUAAAAAGGACAAAACGCUAGAAGAUAUUAAUAUCCAAGAAAACAGACAAAGCAACAGAAAAGGGUAAAAAAAAAAAUUCCACCUUUUUCAAAGGGUAUCUGCCUAUUACGUUGAUUAGAGAUUUCGUAGUACUCACAAAUUCAAAAGAUUAGGUGUGAGUUUCUUAACUAGAAGAGAAGUUUUAUUUUCAGUUCUCAGCUAAUAGAGAUGUACUUUAAGUGUUCUAAAAGUAUAAAACCCAGUUUUGAAAGCAAAGCAUUGAUAAGCUGCUCUUAUAGAAUUGUCCUGUAGAUGUCAAAUAUCUAUUCAGAACUUCAGAAUCUUCUGGGCACUCCCUGUCAAAAACUCAAGGAAUAACCACACAAAAAUCCGUUAACUAACAGUUGAUAAAUACCAUGUAUUCUUCACAUAUUCUUUGUGAAGGAAGAGAAUUUUCAUCCUUUCAUUAGAAAAAUUAUAGACCCCAUAAAUCUUUCGAAGUGGAAAGAAAUAAGCUGUUUAGCAUCAACCAUAGUUCAAAGAUGUUGGUUGCAGCAUAUAAUAUGAGAGGAAGAGCAAUAGGGGAUUGCAUACAGUGGUGAGGCAUGUCGACAACUUUCGCAGUGACGCCAUGUAAAUCAUUUCCAGAGUACCUCUGUACAAAUAAAUUUGCACUUUCACUAAUUCAGUCCCAAACAAUAUGUUCUGGUGAUUAUGCAAUAAUAUUGCUAACUUACUAGUUAUGCAUUGGAAUUGACUCAGAGAAAUCAGUUAUAUACAACAACUAUAUUUGUACAAAUAGAAACAGCAUAGAAAUCUCUUACCAAAUGAAAAUCUAUCAUUGGCACUUCAGAACUUUUCCGGUUAAUAACAUAUAGCCAAGGAACGUAAAACUUUUCAUGGCCAACUUGGAAAGAUCUGUGCAGCAAUCAUCAUCAGUAUGUAAUAUGUUGAUCAGAACAAUAUAUCUUAAAAACUGUUAUGUGAGUCAUGUGACUAAAAAGAAAUGAACUUGAACUAUUUAUACUUUCCAUGCACUUGCAGCAGAUCGUUUUAUCCCCACCUCUACCUCGUCAUCAAAUUACUUAGUAAAUAAUCCCCUGAAAUGGUAAGCAUAGAAUUGCUUGUUUCUAUCACUUUCUUCUAUGCAAAAAAUAUUUUUAUUCCAUCAAAGGCCGCAUUUUAUGUUGCACGACAGCCAGAGCUACGUUGUUCAAUCAUAAGGCCCGAACCAAAUGGCAAAAUUAAUAAUUAUCAAACAUCUACCACUUCUUAGUCCUCUAUUUACUCAUUGCCCGUGCUAGGUUCAGAACCUACAGAUGAUGUUCUUAACCACCGGUCAAGGCACUAAGGCAUAUCGUUUGAGGUCAUACAUUUAACCAAGCCAAUCCAAGACUACCCAACUGGGAGAGAGAUAUCUCGGCAUGCCAGCUCAUUCAACCAAGUUAAUUCUGCUACACUGAUACAAUUAUCGAUCAUGAUUUUUCUUAGUAGGCUAAAGACCACGAUACCGGCUGUAUUAGUACCACAAUCUAAGCACUAAAAUGCACUCUUUGAUAAAAAACGGAUCAGAGCAUACUAGAAAAGCCACCAAUUAACAAGGCAGAACAAGGUUCAUUCAAAUCGAGUGAUCGAGGCAAGGGCUUGCGUGCUACUACAAUACCGUCACGAUUGUUUCUCUCCAAGACUGCAGUUCUACUCGGUCUAUCAAAUAAAUAUUAACUUAAUAAAUUGAUAAAUAGUUCGAAUUGAAGCAACAAUAUCACCGGAACCUCACAAUGCCAGGUAAAUAGAAUCAUAAUUCGAAGAAUAACAACACCGAUGCAAGAUGUAAAACUCGUAAAGCUUACAUCUUAUAUGGAUCCGUCCCAGUGUACCCAGUAGGUUUCGGAAUGGGCAUUAGAACCUUCAUAUGGUAAAUCGAAGAAUCAGACGAAGAAGCAACAAAACUAACAAUGGAGAAUGAUCGAUUCCUACCUCACGAUUAACAGCAAAAGCAGGGCAAUGGCGCCCGACGACAUCGAACCAAACCGUUCUCGACUACAAUUUUGCGCAGAAAACAGAUCAAAUCGCAUCAAACCGAAAGGUGAAAGAGAGAUUGGGGGGGAGAAGGCGGAUUAGGGUUUUGAAAGGGGGUUCUCACCCCGUGGUAUUGCCCCGCUUUGCUCAAGGGGACGAUGUCUCCGGGCUUAUACGCGAGGGAAAUCGGAGCCAUGGACGAGAUCCAGAGGAAGAAGACGAAGCGGAGGGCGCAUCCAUGGGAGUCGCCACGAGGUCGCGCCAUGGGCGAGGUGGAGUUACGGGACGAGUGGUAGAGGAAACCGACUCGCAAACACGGGUUAAAGAGAAAAAAAGAAAAACCAAUUCGUGAUCUCUCUUCACGUCACUUUGAGAUUCGUGCUACUUAUGUGACGAACGGCGGAUACUGUAGUCUCACGUUAGGAAGCGGCUCACCAUAUUCUUGUUCGAGUAUUUUGGAUGAUGAGCCGCGAAUCUUGAUGCACAAGGAGAAACUCCACAGUCCACACUCGAGUCUCCUUCUAUAAGUCGUGUAGCCUCGGGGAAUUACUCCGUAGAUUAUGUGCACCACAUCUGUCGUGCACCGCCCAGUCAUACGCCGUCCACCCCUACCAGUUUGAUCCGAGUGGACCAAAUUCCACGAGCCGGUUGGAAAUGGCCUAAUGACUUUUUCACGAACCAACAGUAAUAAAAUUCAGCUCGGAGUAAUAUAACUGUAAACCGAAAUUUUAAAUUAAAGCUUUGAUUUUAAAUCUACUAAAAAAGAUGCAUAAAUUUCUAUUUAUCAAAUGCACUGUUCUCUUACUUUUCCAUUGACGUGAUUUACUCAGAAAAUCUCUUUCUUCAGUGUUCUAUACAUUGAUCGUCACUUGAACAUCUUUCUUUGACGAAUAAGGUCCCGAUAUGUUAUCUACUUCGAGAAUAGCGACUCAGAUAUUCAAAUCUUAUCUCCUUCCCGUUACUUCUCUGUCCAUUGUCCGGCAAGCAUCUAACUCGAAUUCUGCUAAAUUUAAUCCUUUUGGAUCGAUCCUAGCUCGAACAAUGAUUGAUUCGAAUUUUCGGUGGUUGUCAUUUUGUUACUACGAGCUCAUCCUUUUUCUGUAGGCCUGGUCCGAAUUUGGGAGGAUUUUCGAAAGCUUGCCACAGUUUUUGUGUAGGGGACCAGUAGAAAUACAAACAUCUUAUUUCCAGGUACAAAUUUCCCCACCUCUCGUCCAACCCUAUCAUCGGAUUCAAGAAAAAACACGAUGACUGUGUGUUUUUUUUUAAAAAAGGGCCCUAACAAUUUGAAAACGACGCGCCAACGUCUAGUCAAUCUCUAGUCCUCUCUCUUUUAAUAACGAAGUUACAAGGAUCAGGCUCACGACGCUCAAACACGCAUCAUUUUAAUGUUCGACUCUUAACCAAUACCAAGUAGAAAAAACCUGUUGUCAUAUCCCAAAAUAAGGCCCUACUCGCAUAUACUUCCACAUUUGUCCUCAACCUGAAUCAUAAGAUCCUAAAUAGAGGGGACACGCACCUAACGUAAAUUUGGAAUAAAUCAUUUUCACAAUGUGGUCCGACGAUGCCAAUCAUUGUAGCUGCGUUACAAGUAUUAAGUGUUAUAUAGCAACUUAACCAGUUUGGAGCUGCGGUGCCCUCUUCAUUCUCAGGUUACUACUUCAUACUAUCUUUUUAACUUGAUGUUAUAGUUGAAUCUCAAGUAACUAUCAAAACUUUAUACGACUCGGAACUAGGCAUAUUUUGACGAAUAUAACAGCUUCGUGAUGUAACUUGUCAAGAUUAUUUAUAAAUCAUUUUCUAUCGAAUCGAUUUAGUGCGACAUAUAUAUAGUAUAUAUUAGAGCUAAACUCUACUUUUUUUUUGUUAGUGUUUUUAAAUCGAGCAUCUAUUUGAGUAGGAAAAGACGUACAAACCCAUUGUUUGAUGGAGACUCAACUACCAACGGCAAGAGAGGAUAGACGAAGGUACGACGAACGAAUGUACGGAGGAAUUGGGUGAUAGGCAAUAAUUAAUUCUUAAAGCAGACAAACGGUUAUGAUUAAGCGACUUGAAAGGUUAGAUCGUAAAUUUAAAAUAUUCAGAGCGAAUUGAAAGGUUCAGCUUUUCAUAAUUUUUAUUUCUCCUCCUUUUAUUUGCCAAGUAAUUUUUUUUCGCUCUUUAUGCGUGUCUCCAGUGUGAUCUUCCUCCCCUUUUUACUAUAGUUUUUGUGAACUGCAAGCGCUUCGUCGCAAAGCUGAUUACUUCCUCCGAAUUAGAUUUUCAAAUUUUGUUUCAACUUUUGCUGGUUCUCAACGUAGGCAUCACUCAAAGAGGUAAUAUGAGAGAACACUCUGGCCUUUGGAUCAUAGCUCUCAAAACACAUCAAAAGCAUCUUUUAUUAUUAUCAUUAUUAUUUCUCAGACCCAUUUGUAGAUACUGUAAGAUCCAUGCGAGCCACUAUCAACUUACUAUUUAUUACAUGCUGGGAAUAUUUCCUGGCUAUGUUUUUCUCCUGUAUAUGUUUGUCUACGAGUAAAAGAAAUGUAUUGGAAUAGAAUCCAUGAAUCAUGAUAAGGUGCCUUCAUUUGGUACACUUUGUGAGUACUAGAGACAAAUUAACUCCAAAGAAUUAAGGGGCUGCUUCUUCCAUUAAUUUUAUCAUAUUUUUCAUGGGGUGAAGAGUGAAAAGGAUUGGUUUAAUGAUUUGGUGCGCUCUCAAGCGAUCUCCAUUAAGUUUUGAAAUUCACAGGCAUGUUCAUCAGUAUGCUGACUUAUACUGCACAAGUCAAUCAGCGCGUAACAUAUAUAUUAACGUAUAGAUAUAGAUGAUCCAUACUCAUAAAUUUAACAAGCUUUCCCUUAAGACCUAAAAAUAAAAACAAAAUGAAGCAUUGAUCAAGCCUCUGAUGAGCAAAGCAUAACAACAAGAAUUAUAUGCUAUUUUCAAUAGUUAAGUCCCUACAGAAACAUAUGCACACUACUAAUUUCCUUAAAAGAGUAGGAGAUCAAGCACAAGUAAAAUACCAUGCAAUAUCACUUCGAUUAUACACUUCCACACCAACACCACUUUAAUUCACACACAUUCUUUUCAUAUACAUAUUAUAUAUAUUCUAUACCUAGAAAACUACAAUGUGGCAUCAUUGAGAUGAAUCCAAAUUUGCUCAAAAACCUUCACAAUUACAGCAUGGUACUCUCUAGAAUUCAAAGCUAAAUAACAAGCCAAUAACUCCUCCAAAUCCUUCGAAGAUUGGAUAUCGUUUUCGACGAUCAUCUCAACCAUGCUCUCCUGGAAAUCCCUCUGAGGGUCAGAAGAUGACUUAACCACCACAAAGCUCUCCAUGAAUCCCUUCCUCUGCUUCGCCUCUGUUUUGCUCCUUGCGAGCCGCGGUGAGCCCGGCCGGACCCGAAUUCUGCUCAGGCUUCUCCGCUUGUGGUCCGACCUCGGCUUGUCGGCUUGUCGCUUGGUUGGUUUCGUUAGGAUUGGCGGGAGCUCCAUCGGUUUACCGACGUCGAAAACUAUGUCGGUGGCGGAGGUGGUGACAGAGAAGCUCUGUGAUUCUAAGCUCCUGGCGAUGAUCGUCUUGCGCCGGUGAUCGUCGUCCUCGGUGUAGACGUCGCGGUCGAAGGGGCGGGUGUCGGGAGCCGGUUCGGGCUUGUUGGAAGCAGAGGUUGAGACAGAGGAGGCGAUUUUGGGAGAAGCUCUUGUGAGCUUUUUGGCACUGAAUUUCUUGGACUUGGAUUUCCUUGGUGGGUCUGUGGGGAAGUGUGUGGUUGGGGGAUUGGUGAGUUUCAUAUCUUUGCUUGGGAAGUAGUAUGAGGCUCUGUUUGGGAGGUAGAAUGUGUUGGGUGGUGGUGGAGGAGGAGGAGGAGGAGGAGGCUUUGGUGGUGUUGGAGGAGGAGGAGAAGAGGAGGAGGAAGUGUGUGCUUGAGAAUUGCAUCUCUUAGCAGUGAUUUUUGGGCUUCUCUGGCCUUUUUUGCUACCUCCCUUCAUGUCUCUGAGCUUGUAUAACCAGGUGUUUGGUAUCAUAUUGGAAAGCCUAAAUUUGUGGUUUCCCAUGCAAAGAGAUGCCACAAUAUUUGUAUCAAAGAAGAAGAGCCCUCUCUCUCUCUCUCUCUCUCUCUCUCUCUCUCUCUCUCUCUCUCUCAAGGACAAUACAACCAAGAAAAUGAGAGGCUAAAGAGGAGUAUGUUGUAACACUUGAUAUUGCUUAUGUUUGCGAGUUAAAAGCUUUACAUGCCCUUUUCCAAAAUAUAAAAUUAGAAAAAUAGGAGCUUGAGAGGUUAACUUUGUUAAAUUGUAGGAGCAGUUGUUGUUUAAUAUUUACACAUGUUGUAUAUCUUUUUAUGUUUGUGUUCGAGACACCAGAGAAAAUUAAAUAAAAUUAGAGGCCUUCUAGGGCUCGACUUUAGAAUUUUCUAUUCUGAUAUUAUAUUGAAUUAUGUAUAACAAGUAUUAUUCUUCAAAAAUUUAAACUUAAUAUUUUUAAUAUUUAAAUUCAACAAAUUCUACUCCCAGAACACUAUUAUGGCUUUAUGUUUCAGAGCUUAAUUAUUAUUUUAUUUUUGGAACCGUUAUAAAAAAUUAUUUUUAUUCUUAUUCUAUAUAGGUUGGGGGCCCGAUUAUGACUAUUAAAAGGAACAAACACAGUGGCCUAGUACUAAAUUCAUUUUUGGAGGCUUAGCCACGUACGCAAAGGAAACAACAUCAUGAUUGUUAUUAUUGAGCACCUAUGCUACAACAUUUUACCAAAAGAAGGGGGGGUGGGUUUUGGUCAAUCAUGUGUACUGCUUUGGAGGUGCCUUGAGUGUUUACACCCUGUUGAGAAACAAAAAUACUCGUGUAUGUGACAAAAUAUACACUGCUCACUUAAGGGAAGUGAUGGGCUCUUCAACAUCCAUGCUAGGAGCUUUCACACAAACACACAAACAGUGAACUAUGGCUUUCUACAUGUACCCCUCAUAAGUGUGUUUUUUUUUUUUUUUCCUUUCUUUUCUUAUUUUUUUUGUGUGGCAAAAAUUAUAGUUAACUUAAUUUGGUAGCUAGCUUUACAAUUUAAUUCAUGAAUGGUAGUUGGUUUUAUUAAGAGUUACUUUCGUAAGCACAAUUUUAUCCAUGUGUAUAAAGCUAAAGAUUUGUUUCAAUACUUAAAAAUAUUCUUUCUGAUUAUUAACCAGACUUGCAAUAUUGAAUAGAUAAGAAGUAAAGUGUACAAAGGUGUAGCAUAGUAUUUUUUUUAAAAUAAGAUAAACUAUGUUGUAACCGCCAGUCAAUCGGACUACAUGUUGGUUUAUACUAUCAACUCAUGCUUAAUUUCCAUAUGAAUGUGUGCAUAACUUGGUGCUUAUGAUAUGGUCCAUGAAUACUAAAAAGAAAAAUUACUUCUUAAGUAAAGUAUAUUAUUCUAAAAAAAUUAUGAUUGCCAUGUAAAAUAUAAAUAAUUUGCAGGGGCAUAUAUGCAGCUACCACUUCAUACGACAAAGUAGAUUAGUAGGAUCUAUAAAAGUUUGGUAUCUAUGUGUCAUCCUACUACUCUAGUCACAUUGGAAUCACAUGGACUAUUUUAUCUUUCAAAAAUGUAAUGACAUGAACCUAUCAAAUCACUGAUGUAAUAUGUCUAAUUUGUUUACUUUUAGUUGUUACAUUGUGUCAAUUGUUUCCACCAAAGUAAUAGAUUUAUAGAAGAAAUAGUACUUGAGAAAUUUGGAAGCACAUGAAGUACUUGCUUUGGCAUUUUAGAAACAAACUGUAGUUUCUAUACACACUCAUACCACAUGUAAAAUUAAAGAUAUAAUAGACCAUGCAUGUAUUCUCUCUCUAAUAAUAUUGACACCUAACUUUCUAAAUGUAUCAAAAGACCACUUUCUUGUCACCUCCAUCUUAUUCAAGAACUUCUUUUUUCCAAACUUGGUAGAACAAGCUAAGGCACAUCUUUUAUGCAACAAAUGUCAAAUAGUAGGUCAAGCUGACAAGAUAUUAUUAUCUGCAUCCGAUGCAUUGUUACAUUCAUCUUAAAAUAAAAUUCUAAUUCAAUAUGUGAGAUCUGCAACAUCUAGCAAGCCUUAUAUAAAAAUAAUAAGUUUUGUAAGCAUAUAAUUACUAAAAUAUCAACAACUUCAAGAAUUCAGGAGUGUAGCAAACGAUGUUUCUCGGAUGUUACUCCAUAGCCUCAAAAGUAUUAUUUUACGAUAGCGAUACAUGGUGCACAAGGUGCAUGUAAUUAUUUCUCUAAAUUCAGUAAAACUUUUGGGAACUUUAAUUUAAACCUUUUGGAAAAACAUAGAGCAUGAUCUCUUUAUAGUUGAGCCCCUCCAUUUCAAAAAGCUCCACCAACCCAAAUAGGGACUGCUCGAAAAGGUUUUUUUUUUAAAAGAAAUGGGGGUCCACCACUUCUAAUUUCUUUUGACUGGAAAAAUUUCAGCAUUCUCAUUAGCCUUUUUUCCCCUUCCCGGGAGAGUACUUUACAGCAAAGAUACAUAAACUUUAAAUUUGUCCUCUAAAAUCUUACAAAAAGUUUAAUGGUUGGUAUCCUAAAUUAAAAAAAAUCUAAUUAUUUUAUAUUUCUAGUUGAGUUAAUUUAUUUUCAAAAAAUGAAGGAAAUGGAUAGUAUUCUGUCUUUCUUUCAAAAAGUAAAAAUAGAAACAUACAAAUGUUUCUUGAACUAUAAAUUAUGAAUUAUUUUCAUUUGGCCAUCAACUUUUUAAAAUUUUGAUUUUUUACUAUCUAAUUUUUUAAUUUAUUUAAUUUGAGUCGGUCAAUAGCACUUUGACUUUAAUAUUUAAAUGUGUUGCUUAUCUUUACAAGUCUAAUUAGUAUAUUUUAUAUAAUUCUCGUAAUUGUAUAAAUUUAUUAAAAUAAUUAGCUAGUUUAAAUUUUUAAAAUUAAAGUAUCGUUGACUGAUUCAAAUCAAAUAAAUUAAAAAAAAUAGAUAAAAAAUUCAAAAUUUUGAAAGUUGAUAGUCGACUCAUUUAAUCCAUAGUUCACAUAAGUUUUAUAUGUUUUUACCAAAAAAUAAAAAUAAAAACUUAAGCUUUUAAUGAAAAUCAAUUAAUUCGCAUUUAUAGAAUCAAAGAAUCAAAUUUGCGCCUAAUUUCAUAGUUUAACGUUUUGGAGGAAACCAAUUUAUCACAUAUAGUAUAAAAGGAUUAAAUUUGUUCUCUAAUAGCUUAACAUUUUUCUUUUUUUAGAGAAAACCAAUUUAUUUGCAUAUAUAUAGAGAAAGAGGGGCUAGGAUUACUACACUCUUAUGAGUAUAGACCCUUUUGUACUCAUUAGCUUUCGACUGUUAGAUCUAUCUAUUUGAUUUUUUUUUCACUCGUUAGAUCAUAUUAUUCAACCGACCUCCCAUUCAAUCCUAGAAACCACUAUACCCAUAAGAGUAUAUAUAUAUAUAUAUAUAUAGAGAGAGAGAGAGAGAGAGAGAGAGAGAGAGAGAGAGAGAGAGAGCGCGCGCUAGGCUAGUUUACUAUCGGUAGCAGGGAGGCCUCCGUGCUACCGAUAGUAUACCAGCCUAGCUCUCUUUAUAUAUAUAUAUAUAUUAUGAAAGGAACAGUGCUACAUAAGUGCUAGGUAAGUUUUUUUUUUUUUUUUUUUUUUUUUUUUUUUUUUUUUUUUUUGAGAGAGAGAGAUAUGUAGCACGGUACCCGCUUCGGUUAUUUCAUUUAGAAAUACACUUAGCUGUAAAUGUGAAUCAACUAGGAUUCGAACUUAGGUCUUGGAUACCAACCACCAAAUCCUUUGCCACUUGCUCUAGGGACGGCCGGUAAGUGCAAGGUAAGUUGAACAGUGUUAUACAGUAUCAAAGUUUCUUCUACAAUAUAAUUGGGAAGAAUAAGCAUAGAGUUGGGAGAUAGUAAUGUAGAUAAAUUACUAAGCCUCCGUUUGGUUCGGGGUUAAGAAAAAAGUAGUUAUUCCAGGAAUAGAGUUAAGUUCGGGGUUAAAGUGGGGUUAAAAUUUUUUUGUGUUUGGUUGGGGGUUGGAGUUAGUCUAGAAUAAUAAAAAAUAGUGUUUGGUUAGAGUAGGUGAGAUAAGAAGAUAAUGAUUGAUAAAGAAGGAUAAUGAUUGGUUGGAGUAGGUGUGAUAAGAAAGAUAGUAGGUUAUUAUGAAUAAAAAAUAGUGUUUGGUUGGAGUUUGGUGGGGUUAGGUGGGGUUAACUAACCCGAGAUAAUUUAUUUGAGGUGGGGUUAGCUAAUCCCAUCCAUUUGUUAGGGUGUUUGAGGAU